CGCACAUUGCGCCCUUUGGUAUUCCUUAGGGCAUGCCUGUUCGAGCGUCAUUUCAAACUUCAAGCCCCCCUCAUGGCUUGGUGUUGGGCGUCUGUCCUCCCGGGACUCGCCUCAAAUGCAUUGGCAGCCGGUACGUUGGCUUCGAGCGCAGCAGAAACGCGCCUGGCGUCUGACGGUACCUGGCUAUCCAGGAAGCCUCCACCCCAAUUUUGACCUCGGAUCAGGUAGGGAUACCCGCUGAACUUAA
rnacentral:misc_RNA from 1 species